UUGAAGGCGUGGAGACUGAAGUCCUCUCUAUAUCCACAGAACAGGUAUGGCACAGGCAGUGGCAGUGCAGCUUUUCCACUGUCCCACUAAUGUGCCUCAGUACUAGCCCAGGGGGACCACGUUUAGGAUAAGAAGGCUGUUCAGUCUCCAUGCCCUUCAAUCCCUGGCUACU
rnacentral:sRNA from 1 species